rnacentral:tRNA from 1 species
CGGGGUAUGGCGCAGUGGUAGCGCGCACGGUUCGGGACCGUGAGGUCACUGGUUCAAAUCCAGUUACCCCGACAA